AGUGAUGUCAGCUAAACAAGCUCUCGGGCCCAUACCCCGAAAACGUUGGUUUCAAGCCUUCCUUCACUA
rnacentral:tRNA from 1 species